rnacentral:rRNA from 1 species
GACGAACGCUGGCGGCGUGCUUAACACAUGCAAGUCGAACGGAAAGGCCCUGCUUUUGUGGGGUGCUCGAGUGGCGAACGGGUGAGUAACACUUGAGUAACCUGCCCUUGACUUUGGGAUAACUUCAGGAAACUUGGGCUAAUACCGGCUAGGAUCUCCUGCUUCAUGGUGGGGGUUGGAAAGUUUCGGCGGUUGGGGAUGGACUCGCGGCGUAUCAGCUUGUUGGUGGGGUAGUGGAUUACCAAGGCCUUGAACGGUAGCCGGCCUGAGAGGGGGAGCGGCCACGUUGGGACUGAGAUACGGCCCAGACUACAACGGGAGGCAACAGAGGGGAAUAGUACACAAGGGGAGGAAGCCUGAUGCAACAACGCAGCGUGCGGGAUGACGGCCUUCGGGUUGUAAACCGAUUUCGCCUGUGACGAGGCGUGAGUGACGGUAAUGGGUAAAGAAGCACCGGCUAACUACGUG